GAUGAACGCUGGCGGCGUGCCUAAUACAUGCAAGUCGAGCGAACAGACGAGAGUGCUUGCACUCUCUGACGUUAGCGGCGGACGGGUGAGUAACACGUGGGUAACCUACCUAUAAGACUGGGAUAACUUCGGGAAACCGGAGCUAAUACCGGAUAAUAUUUAGCUUCGCAUGAAGCAAUAGUGAAAGAUGGUUCUGCUGUCACUUAUAGAUGGACCCGCGGUGUAUUAGCUAGUUGGUGAGGUAACGGCUCACCAAGGCAACGAUACAUAGCCGACCUGAGAGGGUGAUCGGCCACACUGGGACUGAGACACGGCCCAGACUCCUACGGGAGGCAGCAGUAGGGAAUCUUCCGCAAUGGACGAAAGUCUGACGGAGCAAUGCCGCGUGAGUGAAGAAGGUUUUCGGAUCGUAAAACUCUGUUGUAAGGGAAGAACAAGUACGUUAGUAACUGAACGUACCUUGACGGUACCUUACCAGAAAGCCACGGCUAACUACGUG
rnacentral:rRNA from 1 species